GUGCAGGUUGGCGAGCGGUCAAAGCCAUGAGAUUGUGGAUCUCAUCCGAAAGGUUCGCGGGUUCAAAUCCCGUCCUGCACC
rnacentral:tRNA from 1 species